rnacentral:rRNA from 1 species
AGUGAACGCUGGCGGUAGGCCUAACACAUGCAAGUCGAACGGCAGCACAGUAAGAGCUUGCUCUUACGGGUGGCGAGUGGCGGACGGGUGAGGAAUACAUCGGAAUCUACUUUUUCGUGGGGGAUAACGUAGGGAAACUUACGCUAAUACCGCAUACGACCUACGGGUGAAAGCAGGGGAUCUUCGGACCUUGCGCGAUUGAAUGAGCCGAUGUCGGAUUAGCUAGUUGGCGGGGUAAAGGCCCACCAAGGCGACGAUCCGUAGCUGGUCUGAGAGGAUGAUCAGCCACACUAGAACUGAGACACGGUCCAGACUCCUACGGGAGGCAGCAGUGGGGAAUAUUGGACAAUGGGCGCAAGCCUGAUCCAGCCGUACCGCGUGGGUGAAGAAGGCCUUCGGGUUGUAAAGCCCUUUUGUUGGGAAAGAAAAGCAGCAGGUUAAUACCCCGCUGUUCUGACGGUACCCAAAGAAUAAGCACCGGCUAACUUCGUG